GAGUUUGAUCAUGGCUCACGAUUAACGCUAGCGGCAGGCCUAAUACAUGCAAGUCGAGGGGCAGCAGAUCGCUUCGGUGAUGCUGGCGACCGGCGCACGGGUGCGUAACGCGUAUGCAACCUACCCAUUACUGGGGAAUAGCCCGGGGAAACUCGGAUUAAUACCCCAUGGUAUCCAGAUAUCGCAUGGUAAUUGGAUUAAAGAUUUAUCGGUAAUGGAUGGGCAUGCGUACCAUUAGCUUGUUGGUAGGGUAACGGCCUACCAAGGCUGCGAUGGUUAGCGGGUCUGAGAGGAUGAUCCGCCACACUGGUACUGAGAUACGGACCAGACUCCUACGGGAGGCAGCAGUAGGGAAUAUUGGUCAAUGGGCGAAAGCCUGAACCAGCCAUGCCGCGUGCAGGAUGACGGCCUUCUGGGUUGUAAACUGCUUUUAUCAGGGAACAAAUAGGCUAUGCGUGGCAAGUUGAGUGUACCUGAAGAAUAAGCACCGGCUAACUCCGUGCCAGCAGCCGCGGUAAUACGGAGGGUGCAAGCGUUGUCCGGAUUUAUUGGGUUUAAAGGGUGCGUAGGCGGGUGAUUAAGUCAGUGGUGAAAUCCUACGGCUCAACCGUAGAACUGCCAUUGAUACUGAUCAUCUUGAGUAUAGUUGAGGUAGGCGGAAUUUAUGGUGUAGCGGUGAAAUGCAUA
rnacentral:rRNA from 1 species